UAUGGCCAUAUCACAUUAAAACACCGGCUCUCAUACGAUCAUUGAAGUUAAGCAAUGUUGAGUCUGGUCACUUCAUAGAUGGGUAACUGCUUUGGAAUACCAGGUGCUGUAAG